UUGUCAUGUUAUGUGUGUAAUUGAAUCUGCUAGUUCGUACAAAUAAAAAAACCACAUGAGAGUUGCCACUGGAAAACUCUCUCGGCCCCCACCCUUCCUUAGGAAGGAAUUCCCACUCUGCUCUGUUUUUGUGUUUCAAGCUUCUCUUGCAGCUCAUUUAUCAACUGGCGUGUUUUCUGGCUUUGCCGAAGAUGAUGACUGUGAUGGCUCAAAGACAUCUCCUUCACUGCUUUCUGCUAAUUCUGAGAGCUAUCUAAUAGUGCAUUUUAAAGAUGCUGGUCCAAGGAAAAUAUUUCAUACGCAAAAGGAAGAGGAGCACAAAUGAUGGAGUGGAAGGCCAUAGAAGUAAGAAGGCAGAACUCCUGAAAUGCCUGUAGGUACCCGUGACAGGCAGUCCCACGAGUGAGUCCUGUAGCAGGCAAAGAAGAGCAAAGCACAUCGGUCACUGAGGACAGUUCCAAGCCCAGGCAUGGGACAGGGCAUCAUCAAGUGUCAGUAAGUGCUGUUCUUAUCUAGGAAGUGCUACAUGCAAAGAUAGAUUGGCUGCCCAGCUGGCCAUUAUCCCAGCCUUGAUGCAGUCAAAAU
rnacentral:lncRNA from 1 species